AGUUUCAAUUCUCGUAAUUCGAAAAGACCAGAGAUACAGCUAUGAAAUACUUUUCGGUCCUUGUCGUCCUGACCCUCCUUUUGGCCAUCAGCGUGGAUCAAUCGGAUGCCUUUGUUAAUUUGCUUGACAAAGUGGAAGAAGCUCUUCACACCAGAACCCAUGCGGGCUUUAAAUUAUUAAGGCCCGUAGAAAGAGGCGAUUCUCCGAAAAAAUCCGAAAAACCCGAAAAAUAAAUAAUUCAAUUAAAAUCUGGAAAACAACAAUUUACCAGCGGCAGACAUUUAGUUAACUUAGUUGAAUGGAUGAAUGUACAUGCCGCUUCUCUGCUAAUAAAAUAUUACAAAUAUAUUCUGAUUCGCACGUGCUCAGUGAACAAUUA